UUCGGCGUUCAGUCUAUCGAUCCAGACAACGACGCCGGGCUGCCGCAAUUCCGUGGGCAGCACUAAAAACAGGAGAUACGGAUAUGCCCGCAGGCACCGUAAAAUGGUUCAACACCACCAAAGGUUUCGGCUUCAUCGCACCCGAAGAGGGCGGCAAAGACGUGUUCGUGCACAUUUCGUCCGUCGAACGUUCGGGCUUGACUGGUCUGGCCGACAACCAGAAAGUCACCUAUGAACUGCGCGCUGGUCGCGACGGUCGCGAAAGCGCCGACAACAUCGAACUGGCCUAAAUCAGGUCUCUGGGGGCGACGGAUGGCCGUCGCCCCCAUUU
rnacentral:misc_RNA from 1 species